ACCGAAUAGAUACCCAGGUAGUCCACGCCGUAAACUAUGAACGCUAGCCGUUGGCGAGCUUGCUCGUCAGUGGCGCAGCUAACGCACUAAGCGUUCCGCCUGGGGAGUACGGCCGCAAGGUUGAAACUCAAAGAAAUUGACGGGGGCCCGCACAAGCGGUGGAGCAUGUGGUUUAAUUCGACGCAACGCGCAGAACCUUACCAGGGUUUGACAUCCCGAGACCGCUGCUGAAAGGCAGUUUCCCGCAAGGGCUCGGAGACAGGUGCUGCAUGGCUGUCGUCAGCUCGUGUCGUGAGAUGUUGGGUUAAGUCCCGCAACGAGCGCAACCCUCGCCUUUAGUUGCCAUCAUUAAGUUGGGCACUCUAGAGGGACCGCCGGCGACAAGCCGGAGGAAGGUGGGGAUGACGUCAAGUCCUCAUGGCCCUUACACCCUGGGCUACACACGUGCUACAAUGGCGGUGACAGUGAGCAGCUAACUCGCGAGAGUAUGCUAAUCUCCAAAAACCCGG
rnacentral:rRNA from 1 species